rnacentral:snRNA from 1 species
AGCUUUGCGCAGUGGCAGUAUCAUAGCCAAUGAGGUUUAUCUGAGGCACGAUUAUUGCUAAUUGAAAACUUUUCCCAAUACCCCGCCCAUGAUGACUUGAAAUAUAGUCGGCAUUGACAAUUUGACAGUCUCUACAGAGA